CACAAAAGCUAGAAACAUCAGAAAAGGACCUCCCCUGGUCAGCCUCAGAGGAGAGGACACUGAAAAGCCGGAAGUUCCCACCAGCUCUUCCUGAGUUAGGCAAGUUGCGCCCUUCUUCAUCUCAGAUGCAGGCUAACUUCAAGGAAACAGCUCGCAGCAGAUCUAUAACAAGGACCAGAGAAAGAACAAGAAGAAUCCUGGCCCGGGAUUCCAGAAGAUCCGUUCUGAGGCCAAAAGGAAAACAGAGGUCCUGGUUUCCUCAUUGAAAACUGCAAGGAUAUCCUGAAGGUCUUCUUUACCUCUGAGAUGUUUGAGGAAGGUCCCAGAUGGAACUGGUUCCAGCCAGGUCAUCCACCACUCAAUACUGGAAAGGAAACCAAACAGCCAAAAUGAGGAAUUUCCUUUCAACAAGUAUCUCGUAAUUAUGCUGAUUGUUAAGCCACAUAAUCAGUCUUAAAGCAAAUCCCAUCUCAAUGGAAUUUAUAAAAGGAUUAGGAAAUGGGGAAAAAUGGAGGCAUGUUAGCAAGCCCAUUUGAUUUAAUUUAAGCCCACUUCCCCUUUGUCCUUUCCUAGUUUUUAACUGAGUAGGUUGGAGCACAAACAGGUUACUGGCUACCGCGCCUGCAUCUAAUUUUCUCUUUUCCGGGCUGGGUAGUAGUACUUUUAGGGUGCCCAUCCCCGCACUUCUGAUACUGAAGGAACAAGAAUAAAGAAUCUCUUUGGGGGCAGCCUGUUGAUACAAGAAAAACCUAGGUUAGAAAAAGCCGCAAAGACUCCAUUAACCUCCAUCUGGAAAAGGGACGGACGCAGCUUUAACUCAACAGUUGUGCUGUGGGAUUGGGAUCGAAAGCAGUCUUCUGCUUUGCUCACAUUUUAUUUUUGUACAUAACUUCACAUUCUGAAUAAUCAGGCUGUGGAUGAAAUACUACUCCACCUGGUCAGCACCGAGACAAGCUCGAACACCUUAUUGUCAUUGCGGAUAGUCCAGAUUAGCUGUCAGUUUAUCCAAUGUCAGCUACAUCCAAACCUCCUCCCUGAGAUCUGGCCAAACUCUGGGCCACAUUGUCCAGCAUAAAAAUAAAGCAGUUAAAAGAAACAAUGUUCAGGGGCGUCUGGGUGGCUCAGUGGGUUAAAGCCUCUGCCUUCGCCUCAGGUCAUGAUCCCAGGGUCCUGAGAUCAAGCCCCACACCGGGCUCUCUGCUUGGCGGGGAGCCUGCUUCCCUCUCU
rnacentral:lncRNA from 1 species